GGAGAACGCUGGCGGCGUGCCUACACAUGCACGUCGAGCGGAUCGAUGGGAGCUUGCUCCCUGAGAUCAGCGGCGGACGGGUGAGUAACACGUGGGUAACCUGCCUGUAAGACUGGGAUAACUCCGGGAAACCGGGGCUAAUACCGGAUAACACCUACCCCCGCAUGGGGGAAGGUUGAAAGGUGGCUUCGGCUAUCACUUACAGAUGGACCCGCGGCGCAUUAGCUAGUUGGUGAGGUAAUGGCUCACCAAGGCGACGAUGCGUAGCCGACCUGAUAGGGUGAUCGGCCACACUGGGACUGAUACACGGCCCAGACUCCUACGGGAGGCAGCAUUACGGAAUCUUCCGCAAUGGACGAAAGUCUGACGGAGCAACGCCGCGUGAGUGAAGAAGGUUUUCGGAUCGUAAAACUCUGUUGUUAGGGAAGAACAAGUGCCGUUCGAAUAGGGCGGCGCCUUGACGGUACCUAACCAGAAAGCCACGGCUAACUACGUGCCAGCAGCCGCGGUAAUACGUAGGUGGCAAGCGUUGUCCGGAAUUAUUGGGCGUAAAGCGCGCGCAUGUGGUUUCUUAAGUCUGAUGUGAAAGCCCACGGCUCACCGUGGAGGGUCAUUGGAAACUGGGAACUUGAGUGCAGAAGAGGAAAGUGGAAUUCCAAGUGUAGCGGUGAAAUGCGUAGAUAUUUGGGAGGCACAC
rnacentral:rRNA from 1 species